rnacentral:rRNA from 1 species
CCUACGGGUGGCACCAGUGGGGAAUAUUGCACAAUGGGCGCAAGCCUGAUGCAGCCAUGCCGCGUGUACGAAGAAGGCCUUCGGGUUGUAUAGUACUUUCAGCGGGGAGGAAGGUGUAGUGGUUAAUAACCACAGCAAUUGACGUUACCCGCAGAAGAAGCACCGGCUAACUCCGUGCCAGCAGCCGCGGUAAUACGGAGGGUGCAAGCGUUAAUCGGAAUUACUGGGCGUAAAGCGCACGCAGGCGGUCUGUCCAGUCGGAUGUGAAAUCCCCGGGCUCAACCUGGGAACUGCAUUCGAAACUGGCAGGCUAGAGUCUUGUAGAGGGGGGUAGAAUUCCAGGUGUAGCGGUGAAAUGCGUAGAGAUCUGGAGGAAUACCGGUGGCGAAGGCGGCCCCCUGGACAAAGACUGACGCUCAGGUGCGAAAGCGUGGGGAGCAAACAGGAUUAGAUACCCUAGUAGUC